AAUCCAGGAUAGCAAGUGUCGGUAGUGAUGGGAAACACCAGUGGUCCAAGACAGGUAGGAGGAGAGCUUCGGGUGUGUCGUGUGAGAUGUUUGUGGGGUAGGUGACUGUAGCAGACUUCGAGGACGAUGUCCAGUUUAAUUGGGGGAGAAUUUUAACACCCGGAAACCAGAAGGCUAACUAAGGAAAUAUAUUAUGCAAAUUGGAGGUCUACUCGUCGAGCCCAAGGGGGGCAACUCGACGAGUAGAAAUAAGUUUUUAGGAUGCGGAUUGAGAAACCUACUCGACGAGUUGGGGAGGACCAAAUCGACGAGUUGGCAUGGGUUUGGGAAACCCUAGAUUUGAGGUUUUGCACCCUAUUUAAGUAUCUUAAUCCCUACCUUAUGGCCUCAUUUCCAGCCUCCAGUGUCCAAACCCUAGAUCUCGAAACCCUAACGCUUGUAAGCCAUUUUUUAGUAAACCUUGUGUGAUUUGAAGCCUAUGAAGAAUAGGAGAAGCUUGGAGAUUCAGAAGGAAAUUAGUAGGUCCAGAAACCACAUGUAAUCCUCUCCAUUUUCUGGCAGGCAAGUCUCAACCAUGCUUAAUAGAUUGAUAGAACUCUUUAAUUUCACUUUAUGAGGGUUUUGGUCCAAGAAGCUUAGCCCUUGGGAAAUGGACGUCCCAAGUGAUAUACCUUUCAGAUCUGGGAUCUACAAGGGGUUUCAUGGCAUAAAGGUGCAAACUUUAUGACCAUGGAAGUGUUGCAUUAGUGUCUAAGUCCAUAACUAUAUUUGGUAUGUACUUGACCCGACCCGACAUGGUCCAUUUGGGUUGCACUUCACCGACACAAUUUAUAUGGAUAGUCUUUUGAGAAUAUUAUAUUUAUGAUUUAUAUUAAUAUAUUAUAAGUUCUAAUAUAUUAAUAUAUAAUCAUAUUAUUUAAUUAGUAUUGAUCAAGACUUAAUUAAGUGAUCAAAAUGAACUAAUUAAAUAUGGACUCUUAUAUAUAUGGAAUGGGCCAAGUUCAUUUAGGUUGGGCUAAGCUUUCAUGGAUAGUCCAUGGAGUGUUUAACCCAUGGAUCAUAUGAAAUGAAAGGUCAUGGGUUUAACCCUAGUCUCCAUACUAUAUAAAGAUGUCAUUGGUUGGUGAAAUUGGCACUAGUGUAGUACACUAAGAAGGGCAAGCCAACUUCACUAGAGAGAUCCAAGUAUCCAUAUUCUCUAAAUUCUUCCAAGGUGUUUUGGUGAUUUGUGAUUCCAUUUGAGGCUUCCACACUAUUGGGGCUAACCUCUUAAAGCUUAAAGACAUCAAGCUACACCAAAAGGUAUGUCAUUUAACUAGUCUUUGUAGUAUAGUUACCUCAUAGUAUGCUAGUUAGGAUUAAAUCCUUGGAAAGUUCUUAUUUGCAUGUACAAUAGAGAAAACAUACAUCCAAGGUUUAUAGGUUGCAUGUACACCAUAGGAGUGUUAGAAUGCUCAAAACCCAACAGGAAGCCCCAUGCAAGCUUUAAGGUGUUGUUAUGGCCUUUUACUCCCCAAAAGGCCAUGCAUGGAAGGAAACUUAGGAGCUUUACGUGUUCAAAUGAUGUUUAAGGCCUGAUCUAUGUUAGUAUGCUUUAGCUUGGAUAUUGAUGGCGUUUUGGACAAAGAUCUAUGUCGUAAAGAACUAGGGUUUUAGCUAAACCCACUAAGAAGGACUAGUAGCAGGUAAAAAUGGGAAGUUUACCCUUGAGAAAUCAUUUUCUGUAUGUAGAAGAAGUAUGGAGUCUUGGUCUAGAGAGUAGAGGCUUAAUCUAUUACGAUGGCCCAAACAGAGUACAAAACUCGUAGAGUCCAUAGAGGAACUCGACGAGAUGAGUCGUGAUGCCUUGAUCUAGUUUAUGGUAGAACUCAACGAGUCUGCGAAGGGACUCGACGAGUUGAUUCGCCAAACCGUGACUAUGAGUAACCAUGGAACUCGGCGAGUCAAGGGGUGACUCGAUGAGUUGGAUCGCGAUUUCAGAGUUCUGAUUUAUAGAACUAGACGAGUUGAUGGAGCAACUCGGCGAGUUGAGUCAACUCGGGGUGUUGACUUUGACUUUGACCAAGCAUUGACUUUGACUUUGACUAGGGCUAAAAUGUUCAUUUGACCGUAAGAAGGAUUAUCAGUUCUUGACAAAGUAUUAUGUUGUUAAAGAUAGCUCAAGAAGUCGAGAGAUCAGCAGUUCGAGGAUCUGCCAGCUAGCAACGAGGGGUUUAUUCGAGGUAUUCUAUAGUCAACUUGUGAGGUGAGUUUUCUCCAGUAGGAAUGGGUCGAAGGCACCAAUGUCGGCCCUUUUAUGUAUAUUAGUGUAUGUCGGAUUAGAUCCGAUGCCGGGGAUAAACCGAUGUAGCUUAUAUGUUUCUGGAUUUCAAUCCGAUGCCGGGCAAGGCCUGAGGAAGGUUUAUAUGUAUGUUUCCAAACUACGGUUCGAUGAUAGGUGGCACCCGACGAAGGAAUGCUUGUUUAGUUAUACUUGUUGUUGUCUGUUUGAUACUUGUAUGUGCCUGGUAGGGAGGCGAGUGUGGACGGGGUCCCGUAUCUCAUCACUAGAUGAGUGUGGACGGGGUUCCAUAUCUCAUUAUUAGCAGAGUAGGGGCGAGGCCCAAGAUCGGCGGGGCCUUAAGACUAGCAGUUAUAGUGUUGUGUCUGUCUGUUAUGUACUAGCAUGAUUAUAUGUUAUUGUUUGUAUGCAUAUAGCGGGUGGGGUCGAGUAGAAAUAGAUUUGUAUACUGAGCGGGGCUCGAUGCCAGGCGGCGCCUGAUUCCAGGCAGGGCCUGAUGCCGGAUUUGUCCAUUAUCGGGCGGGGCCCGAUGGAGCGGGCUAGGCCCAAUGUAUGUAUUUAUAUGAUUAUGUGUAUGGUAUGUGGUAGUUUGGGGAGACUCACUAAGCUUCGUGCUUACAGUUUUCAGUUUUGGUUUCAGGUACUUCUGGUAGCAAAGGGAAAGGCUCCGGAUGAUUGAAGUGCACACACCAUCUUUUCAGCCUGGGAUAUUUAGACUCUGAUAUUUGAGACAUGAUUUUGAUACAGUACUUUGUUAUGAUGAUUUGAGAUACAUAACUUAUGAUCUUUAUUUUGAUGUUUGAUGAAUUAUGAUUUUCUUAAAUGAUUUUAAAACGAAAUUUUUUGACCGUAUUUUUGGGAUGUUACAUUUGCGUACCUUCGGAGUACACCCUACGUACUUGCACUGGGUCAAUCCGGUUGAGUUGACUCGGCUAGGUUGACUCAGUUGACUUAGUGGGUUUGAUCGGUUAACUUUCACUGUGACCAAGUUUGGCUUUAAGUGUAUUUUGGGAUUUUGAUUGAGAUUUGGGGCAUUUCAUUGGAAUAGGAGUCGGUUGCAGCUGAGAUUCGGAGUUAAUACCUCAUCAGCUUUUGUCCAGUUUGCGAGGUGAGUUUUCCUCAAUGUACUUGCGGGUUGAAGGCACUAAGGCCGGAGUCGAGGUUAUUAUAUUGUAGUGAUCUUUUAGAUCGGAAUCCUAAUAUAUAGGAUGAUGCUAUGCUUAUAUCUAUCUUUUGUCUAUUGACUGGUUAUAUGUAUAAAUGUUUAUCUGUUAUAUUUAUGUCGACAUGUUGUGUGGUUGGGUUAAGGCGGAACAAUAUAGACUGAAGGCCAAGUGACCCAGGGCGGCGUGGAUAGACUGAAGACCUGUGAGGUGGACUAGUUAGGCCGAAGGCCCGGAGAAUGGUCCGGACAUGUUGAAGGCCCGGUGAGGCGGACCAGUCAUGUUGAAGGUUCUGCGAGUGGUCCAGAUAGUCUGUAGUCCCAGCGAGGCGGUCAAAUCAUUAUGAAGGCUCAGUUUGCAUGUUGUUUGUUAUUAUGUUGUGUGGUGGUACUUUGGGGGAUCUCAUUAAGCGUUGGCUUAUAGUUUUGGGUUAUGUUUCCGGUACUCCGGAUGAUCGCAGGAAGGCGAAUGCAUGACCGUACACAGAAGGAAGUGUGGAUUUAGGAUGAGUUCACGUUGUCUUCAGGAAGGGAGGCAACCCAAGGGCCGAUUUGGACUGAGGGGUAUGUGAGUUAGGAGUCUGGGAAACAUCCCAACGUAGGAUUCACGUCUUUUGGUGUUCGAUAGUUGGUUUUGGGACUCUGGUUGGGGAGAUUUCCGUGAGAAUGUGAAUUCAACCAGGAUGUUAGGCCGUGCGCAUGAUCGACGUGAAAAAUGUUGUAAGACUACGGGAUAGUCGUCGCAUUCACUAGUAGCCAGAAAACAUGGAAAGUGUUGUAAGACUGCAGGAUAGCUGUAGCAUUCACUAGCAGUCAGAAAGUGUGGGAAAACGUUGUAAGACUGUGGGUUAGUUGCAACAUUCAUUAGCAACUAGUUAGAAAAGUGUGGGCGGGGGCCCGUAUCUCCUAGUUAGCGAAGUGUGGGUGGGGGAUCGUAUAUCCUAAGUUAGCACGAGUGUGGGCGAGGCCCGUAUCUCCUAGUUAGCGUGAUCAAAAUCAUGAAAGGAUAGGUAGAUAGGAAUCGAGGUGAAGUUGUAUCUGUGUAGCCUUAAAUAGGUGAGACCUAGGAGCAAGGUCACUCCGUAGUACGAUUUGGGUGAGACCCGUGGACGAGGCCCGUGCAAUCAUGGCAAGGUAGGUUGGACCUAGUAGACACCACGGGGUCGAGAUACAUGAUCAGGGAUUCUAGGAUCUAUAGAGCCAUGAGUGGCAAGACAGAUAGAGCAGUUCUAAUAGACUAAUUUUUCUUUGGAAGUCGUUGGGAGCAAAUGAGAUAGUGAUAAUUGGUUCAGUAACCGGGUGGAAUCAGGUAUUCCAGAUAGUGGACAUAUAAGUUUGGAUCUGGGUGGUCCUGGUUCCUUCGGAAGUUAGAGAAGAGGUUGCGUGGUUUUCGGGCAAAAGUAGUGAUUAUGAGGUUUUUAUGCGUAGGGUAGCUUGCGGAUCGAAAGAGCAAAGACACUUACAGUUGGAUUGGAUAAUCUCAAAGUAGUUGAUAUGACUCUGUUGCGCAGCUCUCGUCUGAGUCUAACCGUUUCAAGGAUGAAUCUUCUACUCGAAGGAUUAUCUAAACCUUCAGUGAAGUAUAAGUAUUCUACAGUUGGCUAUGGAUAGGGAUUUUGUUUUUGAUGGUAGCAUCAAGAUAAUUAGGGUGGGAAGUUUUAUCGUUGAACAGUUAUUCAAUGAAGUUUGGCAUGGAAGUUUUCGAGUAUCGAAGGUCCGUCUGGGAGAUAGAUCAUUAUAGAUUACAUGUCUCAGAAUGACAGAAGUAGUUCUAUGUAUGACAGUAAGAAUGAUCUUUCAUCAGGUUUGGAAGGUUUCGAUGGUUGGGUUCAGUUGCCUUGGGAAGGCCAUUGAUUGCGCAGGAUGAUAGUAGUAAAUCCAGGAUAGCAAGUGUCGCUACUGAUGGGAAACACCAGUGGUCCAGGACAGGUAGGAGGAGAGCUUCGGGUGUGUCGUGUGAGAUGUUUGUGGGGUAGGUGACUGUAGCAGACUUCAAGGAUGAUGUCCAGUUUAAUUGGGGGAGAAUUGUAACACCCGGAAACCAGAAUGAUAAUUAAGGAAAUAUAUUAUGCAAAUUGGAGGUCUACUCGUCGAGCCCAAGGGGGGCAACUCGACGAGUAGAAAUAAGUUUUUAGGAUGCGGGUUGAGAAACCUACUCGACGAGUUGGGGAGGACCAAAUCGACGAGUUGGCAUGGGUUUGGGAAACCCUAGAUUUGAGGUUUUGCACCCCAUUUAAGUAUCUUAAUCCCUACCUUAUGGCCUCAUUUCUAGCCUCCAGUGUCCAAACCCUAGAUCUCGAAACCCUAAUGCUUGUAAGCCAUUUUUUAGAAAACCUUGUGUGAGUUGAAGCUUCUGAAGAAUAAGAGAAGCUUGGAGAUUCAGAAGGCAGUUAGUAGGUCCAGAAACCACAUCUAAUCCUCUCCAUUUUCUGGUAGGCAAGUCUCAACCAUGCUAAAUAGAUUGAUAGAUCUCUUUAAUUUCACUUUAUGAGGGUUUUGGUCCAAGAAGCUUAGCCCUUGGGAAAUGGACGUCCCAAGUGAUUUACCUUUCAGAUCUGGGAUCUACAAGGGGUUUCAUGGCAUAAAGGUGCAAACUUUAUGACCAUGGAAGCCCCAUGCAAGCUUUAAGGUGUUGUUAUGGCCUUUUACUCCCCAAAAGGCCAUGCAUGGAAGGAAACUUAGGAGCUUUACGUGUUCAAAUGAUGUUUAAGGCCUGAUCUAUGUUAGUAUGCUUUAGCUUGGAUAUUGAUGGCGUUUUGGACAAAGAUCUAUGUCGUAAAGAACUAGGGUUUUAGC
rnacentral:lncRNA from 1 species